CCUCCCUAGUGUAAAAUUUCACAGCAAAACCUCGGGGGUCCCUGAGGGUUUCAGGACUUCCACGCUCAUGAAUAACAGUUGAGAAACGGACAAUGACAGGUGUCUGAACUCCUGGAGCACGAAGAAAAUCAGCACAAGUGAGAUUAGAAAUGUCAUGAGUGACCUCAAAGAAGCCCUUGGCACUGGCUCCCCUUGCAUGAACUACACGCUCCGGAAUCCGCUCACGGUCGAAAUUUGCAAGUUUCUCCACCAAAUGAUAAUCCUCGAGAAGAACCGGACCUGGCACAUGAAGAAGACGAAAAGCUAAAUACUUGUAAUCACAAAAUGCCAUAUUAAAAUAAAGGGAUAAUUUCAGAAACCUCCCUGAGGUUUCUGACAAUUUUACUGAACUCCCUUGAGGUUUAAAAAAUUACAUAUACCUUCCUUAUCAUUUAAAAUGACAAUUUUACUCUUAAAUAUUUUAAUGAAAUCUCCUUAUUUGGUAUGCUUAAUGCUUAAAAUUAUUUUUUCAUUCUUUUCCUUCUUAUUCCUUUUUUUAAUUUUUCGCUAAUAAAACUAUAGAACUACCACUAUUGCCUCUAGUUUCUAUUAUAACCAAAUGUCGAACUAGUGAUUUUUUUUGACGAGUUAAUUUUAUAUGCUAUCCAAUGUUUUUGUUAAUCUUUGUUUUCUAUUUUUUGGUAUUAAAAUUAACAAUAAAUCAAAAAGAAAUGGCCUAAAAGCAUUAUUAAAUUAUGAUAAUUGCACUACUCCAAAAAUUCAUAAAUUAUAAAUGAAUAUUUCAGCAUUUUCUUUUCUAUCUUAUAAAUCUAAAUCUACAAUAGAAUACCAUCAAAAGUAUCAUAUCAUAGUAAUAAAUUAUUAUCAUAGUUGUUUAUAGUAAAUAUGGACAUGAAAAUUUUGGCACCUUUUCCUUAUAAUUGUACUAAAUAAUCUUAUAAUUAUAUAGGGAAAUAAAUUAAAAAUCAUUACACAAGGGCAUUUUUGGGUAUUCAUUUAAAAAACUGACCAAGUCAAUAUUAUUUUAAGGUUUUGUUACUAAAACUAUCAAAUUCAAGAGAGGUAAGUGUAAUUUUCCAAACCAUAGGGGAGCUCAAUGAAAUAGUCAAAAACCCCGGGGGAGGUUUCUGAAAUUAUCCCUAAGAUAAACCAGGUGGUUGUUGUCACAAUAAGGUUUCAAUAUCAGAAUAUUAAAAUUAAAAACUAAUUGUAUGUCUACGUUCAGGACUUCUUAACGUAUUUAUUUCAUUAAAUAACAGGAAAUUUCUGAUAAAGACCUCAUAGCAUUUAGGAUAUAGAGGAAACAAAUAGAUAUAGGUAAAACCAAAAUGAGUUUUUGUGAAUUUCGUAUUCUUCAAGCUACUGCAUCUAAUGAGUAAAAAAUAACAGCAAGUCAUAACACAAGAUUCAAUCCCAAAAUAAACCAAACAAUGACAUUUCUAACAAUAAGAAAUUCAAUGCGAAACGGGGGAUAAAAUUGCAUAAACAAUAAGAAUCUUAGAUCAUAGAAAAGAAAGGAAAGAAAACAGUAUAAGCACCUCUGGUUCCAACGGUGAGAGAGGAGUUAUUGUUCCAGACGGAGGCACCAGAAUUGGUUGUCCAGAAGGGAGAAUUGAAAGCACUCGAUGGCCGAUACUACACAAAUCACAAAGGACCAAAUACAAACUCUCCAAUCAUUAGAAAUAACUAAAACACGCUAAACCUCAGCGUUACUAUAAAAGAUAGGAAGUUUGGAAUUUUCACCGAAAAAAAAAAUUGAGAUUUUCAUUUUAUCUAAUCGGGUGAGAGCUAAGCAUAAAAAAGUUAAAAUGGAAGCUAAGAAUUACGAAAUUUUUUCUCAGAAGCGAUUACUGGCGAAAGAAAAAAAAUGAGUUGCUCAGAAAUCCGUGAUGGCCAUGGAAAGCGGCAAAAUUAGACCUCGACUUCGACUUAAAAAAUGAACGAAUUCAACAUCAGCUCGUCCAAAUUACAUGAGCGGAUGGUGCAGAUAUAUUACCUUGCAUGGAUCCAUUGCUACAGUCAGCGAAGGGGCGGUGGGUGGCGAUAGAUUUUUGGCUGGGGAUAAAGCAAGUCGGGAAGGGGAAUGGCAAUCACCGUCUUUCGAAAAAACCAAAAGACCCACGAAUUUAUUGAUAAAAUUAGGAGUGGGUCCCGUCCCGAGGCUCGCAUUUCUAGCUUAUCCACUGCCUAGCACGCAGACGCAGUGCCCAAUCCAAGAGCCAAUCUUUUUUUUUUUUUUUCCUAAUUGCUUCAACAAAGUGAGAAAAAAAAAAUUCAUUCGUAGGUGAAUUUUUCAGGUCAGGAUAUAAUCGCCAAUUUAAACUUUCCCCAUCCUGAUCCUAUUGUCCAAAUUCCUAGUUUUUAUUUGGAUUAUUUUAUCGGAUUCCUUCAAGCCAUCCUCCGUAUAUUUAAAUUUCAUCCAAUCCAUCAUCUAAUCCGUCGCGUGUCUAUAUCUAUAUAUAUUGAUACGCCAGGGUCCAUUACUAGUUUAAGACGGUAGGGUCAUCCACUGCAGACAAUGCCCGCUCACAAGCCAGCCUUCCCACGCCCAGUUCAAACGAAUACUUUUUCACUUUGAUGGGUUAUUGCAUGACAUGGAUCGCAACCAAGUCUGCCCCUUUCCCACCCGAAAGUAUAUAUAUACAUGUGUGUGGAUACAUAAAACAACCACGGCAGCCCCGGGAAUUAAUCAGAAGCUGCGUCACUGCACGCUAGCGUCAUUUCCUCCCUCCACUAAGCCAAGAAAAAGAGAGGGAGAAGACGGUUCCGCCGUACAUGGCGGCACCAAAACUGUCGAGGGCAUCCCUACCCAGAUACCAACCAUUCAGAGCGCCCUCCCAACCUCAUUGGCAGAACAGCUGGAUGUGGGGUUGAGAGUUGCAUGCAUGAAGGUCGCAAUUGGGGAAAAGCUGCGGGUACCUUCACACAUACUUGAUCCCCAAAAUAUAUACACCCUCAAAAAUGCCACAAGAGCACCUUCCAGGUAUAUUGGCAGUCGCCCAAAGGACACGAGUGGGCAAUGUCAAAUCUAUUCACAGAAGUUAUCCUCCACAAUUCAAUGGAGAAGGAAAAUUGUUUUUUUGGGUUGGCGGUUUUUUGGGGAGGGGGGGUUUGGAGGAAGAUGCAUGAUCAAGUAAAUCCUCGCACAGAGAACCGUUAUUUAUUUAACACCGGGACAUAAUUUCAGUUUAAACCAGACAUGGAAGCCUGUUCGGUACAUAAUACAACACACUGACUGAAGCACACUGAAGGACACCAUCAACCUCUCCGAGAACAAACACUCCCUAGCCCGUAAGCCACCAGGAACAUUUAUGGCCUUCACAUUGUUGGUCUUACAUUGAGACGAGUAGCCAUUUUCUGACCAAGAGAUUUGUCAGCCUGCAAGACAAUCAAGUACUGAAUCAGCAAAACCUACAUUUUUUCCCAAGGCUAGACUACUACAGAUGCAAGUUAGAAAAAAACAGGGAGGUAUGUAGACAUGAAAAUCAGACCUGAGACCAGUAUGAAAUCCAGAUACUGCGGAUCUCAUGGGUGACUCGUGCAUCAGAUAAAAUAUCAACCCAUCGGCAGAUAAAUCUCUCUUGCCUGAGGAACACGGAUCAAUCAGAACUCCAGAAAAAUGAAACGCAUACCAUCAGUCAAAGAGCCAUUAAGCAGUAAGCACCAAGAAAUACCUGUCAGGUGCCCAGGAUCGGUAUCUCUCUCCCGCUUGCUUGAAGUUGUUCUCCUUCGGAAUAACACACUGCAAAAAAAAAACCCACAAAUUUUAGGGUCACAUCAUAUCAUAUUUCACCAAUCCAAAGGUCCAGCAGGACCAAAGACAAUUCCAAAAUUCAAAGAGAAAUUCCAAUCCAUCAGCUAAGAACAAAGGCACUUGAGGAGAAGGCAUGUAGACCUCCAAAGAUCCCAUGCAAGAAAAGAAACUAUAGCAAGUACCAUUAGCAGAAAAAGCAAUAGCUCAAUGGCUGGCAUCCAUAGUUUGCUCACAGGAAAACAGAUAAUGUCAUGUUCAAGAAAGGGAGUAAGUUCUACUCGUUAAUGUUCAGUAUAUCGCUUCAAAGGAGGACAGUUUGCAGCAGAGCAACUAAGGGCCUAUUCUCAAAUAAUUCCAAAUACCUGAUUUUAGCUUUUGAUUCUUAAGAAGUUAGUUUCUCUCUGUUGUCAAUUGCCUUUUAAAACCUGCUUUUGGCUUUUUUGGAGCAAAAUAGAUGAAAAUCAGAAGCGGCAAAACAGCUGCUUUUGGUACCAAUUCUGCCAAUUAUGAAAACUAGAAGCGAUUGAGAACAGACCACAAAAUUCAAGACCUAUUUAUCACUUUCUUCCUCCUACUCAUCUACAUGCACUCUCUCCUAUUUUAGGAGAGAGGAGGGGGAGGGAGGGGAGAAGCAAAGAUUGUGUAUCAUAUAUUCUUCAAAUCCCAAGAUGAAGUUAUUAAGAGAACCGAUUUCCCCAGAUUUGAUUAACUGCAUAAAGGUAUCAAUUUUUUUUCCAUAGUUCCUUUAUCUAGAUUCAAACAACAGCAAGAGCCUGAAAGUAAGCAAAUCUACUCAUAGAAACUCACCCUGUCACGCUUUCCUCUCAGGACAGUAGAGGGGAUGGGAUGCCUCGCAGCAUGACGAACAGGAUCGAACCUUGAAGGGAAAUAAUCGACCUGAAAAAACAUUGAACAAAAAAGUUUAGUACAACUAAGCAUAAGAUAAGCCCAUUUUAACUCCCAUUCACAAAGUCCCUAAGCCAAAAAAAAAAAAACUGAAGUGAUUUUAUUGUAAAGCAACUACACAACAAAGUUGGAAAAACAGAAUGGGUACUACUUCUGGCAUUUUUUCAUUUUUCAAACUGUCCUCUAUGCCUUGAGUCAUGACCAAUAUGUUAUAAGAUAGCUUUCCACUCAACUCUUAUUUACCCACUAAUUCUUCAUAACCUAUUUAUUUCACACAUAGAAUUUCCAUUUUCACAGUACAUAAAAAUGAAGAACAUCGAUCUAUCUGUCGGUGACUUCUUAUCUCCAAUCUUGAACAUCUACAAGUUUUCAUAUCAACCACCAAGUUUAUAUUCACAACCACCUCAUGUCACAAAAAUGGUAUCUAAUGAAAAGUUACUUUAUACCAGCAACCAGUCAUAGAUAAUUAUAUUUACUAAAUCACAUAAAAUGUAACCUUAAAUGCUGAGUUUAACCAGGAAACUAACUGGUAUAAAGAACAAGCAGGAUGUCCUCAAAAUGAAGACCAAAUUAGAGAACGAGGCAUAAUUUGCGGUUCAUUAUUACCAAAAGAGGGAUCAGUACCUCUUCAUCCCGGUGCAUGAAGUUCAUGAAACCAUCAUAGUGAUUGUUGUGAUGAGCACACUUGGGAGCAUUUACUGGAAGCUGCAUAUAGUUUGGGCCAAGACGGUGUCGCUGGGUAUCACCAUAUGCGAAUAUACGAGUCUGGAGCAGCUUGUCCUCUGUAUAAUAUAUCCCAGGUACAACAAAGGCAGGGUUAAAUGCAAGCUGCUCGGUCUCAGCAAAGUAGUUGUCAAUAUUCUUGUUCAAUACCAACCGGCCCACAGGUUGCAAAGGCAAAAUAUCUUCAGGCCAGAUCUUGCUUACAUCAAGCGGAUCAAAAUCAAACCGAUCUUCAUGAUCAGGAUCCAUAAUCUGGAUAAAAAGUCUCCACUCCGGAUAGUUUCCAGCAGCAAUUGAGUCAUAGAGAUCCUGGGUAGCAUGGCUAUGAUUUGAUCCUCCAACCUUAAUAGCUUCUUCCUCCAACAGGUUCUUCACUCCACAGGUUGGCUUCCAGUGGAACUUCACAUAAUGAGCUUUUCCAGCCUUGUCGAUCAGAGUGUAAGCAUGGACGCCAAAGCCUUCCAUAUGCCUGUAAUCUUGUGGAAUGCCGACAUCAUCUAAGAAGAAAGCAAACGUAAGCAAGCUCUCAGGAUGAUAGGAGAAGAAAUCAAGGAUUCUCCAAUACUCCUGGAUGUGGGUCUUUGGAUUUGGUUUCAGAGCAUGGAUCGAAUCUGGGAAUUUCAUUGCAUCACGAACAAAAAAGACGGGGGUAUUGUUUCCCACCAAAUCGAAAUUACCCUAUCCAGAUGCACAAAGCAACCAUCAGCAGCUUAUCAAGAGUGUCCAAGAAAAUGCAGACCAAGAACUACAUAAAACACCAACCACAUAAUCCAAGUCCCCUGAGAUCAUCUAUUGUGCCCGGAAAGCUUAUGUCCCUAGUUGUGGUGCUUACAAGUUAAUUGAAUGGAUAAGCUGCAUCUUGCUACUAAAUCAACAUACGCUUUCAGAAGGGGAAGCUCCCAAUUUUUACAACGCCAAAGUGUGCUAUGUGUGUGGUGGAGGGCAACAAAGUUAGGACAACUAUUAGUCGUGUUUUAUUCACAUCCAUAUGUGUUGAAUUUGAGAACUUCAAUGCCAUGGAAUACCAAAGGAAGGCUUCACAAUGGUUGGCUAAUUGGCAAAAAUUAUAAAUUGCUAGAAUGACACGUCCAAUUGAGCAGCUGUACAUCAUGCAAAUUCAGCUCUUCAAAAUUCUGUGAUUGUCUCUAAGAACAACUCGUAUCCAUUACUUUCCAGAUAUGAGACAAAGAGGCUUGACAUGUUAACUAAACAACACAUGUCAGUGGCUUUCUGCUGAUUUAAUUCUUAAUAUGUGCGCAGCAUAUGAAUCCAUCUAGUUGACUGACGGAUUAGCAGAACUAUUUUCUGAAGGAAAACAACAGAACUUACCUCCCUAGUGUAAAAUUUCACAGCAAAACCUCGGAUGUCCCUGAGGGUUUCAGGACUUCCACGCUCAUGAACAACAGUUGAGAAACGGACAAUGACAGGUGUCUGAACUCCUGGAGCACGAAGAAAAUCAGCACAAGUGAGAUUAGAAAUGUCAUGAGUGACCUCAAAGAAGCCCUUGGCACUGGCUCCCCUGGCAUGAACGACACGCUCCGGAAUCCGUUCACGGUCGAAAUUUGCAA
rnacentral:lncRNA from 1 species